GAACGCGAAGAACCUUACCAGGUCUUGACAUCCCUCUGACCGCUCUAGAGAUAGAGUUUUCCUUCGGGACAGAGGUGACAGGUGGUGCAUGGUUGUCGUCAGCUCGUGUCGUGAGAUGUUGGGUUAAGUCCCGCAACGAGCGCAACCCCUAUUGUUAGUUGCCAUCAUUCAGUUGGGCACUCUAGCGAGACUGCCGGUAAUAAACCGGAGGAAGGUGGGGAUGACGUCAAAUCAUCAUGCCCCUUAUGACCUGACUACACACGUGCUACAAUGGUUGGUACAACGAGUCGCAAGCCGGUGACGGCAAGCUAAUCUCUUAAAGCCAAUCUCAGUUCGGAUUGUAGGCUGCAACUCGCCUGCAUGAAGUCGGAAUCGCUAGUAAUCGCGGAUCAGCACGCCGCGGUGAAUACGUUCCCGGGUCUUGUACACACC
rnacentral:rRNA from 1 species